UUGGAGAAAUGCAUAUUUGCGAUUCCCCAGCAGUUUGACACCGAAUAGAAACGGAUGGACACUUCAUGAGGAUACGCUACAUUUCCACUGGUUCGACGGAGAUUGUAUGCCGCAAUCAGUAUUCGACGCUAUUGUUCAUGAAAACAAUAAACAAAAUAAUAUUGGAAAUGAUACUACAGAUAAUGCAGGGGUAUCCGAAUUAGACACAGAUGAAUCUGAAGUUGAUUCUGAUAGCUCUGAUGAAGGAGCAUCUACAGAAGAAGAAUGACAAUUUCUUUCUGAUAUGACAGGGAAUUAAUUACAUUGAUAUUUGUAUACUCAUAAUAAUUCUGCAGCUGUAUUAUUAGUAUAUAAUUUUUCUAUUUCAAUAAAUCUGAUUUUGUAAUUUUA